rnacentral:tRNA from 1 species
GGGCCGGUAGCUCAGCCUGGUAUGAGCGCUGCGUUGGCAUCGCAGAGACCCAUUGUAGGGCUGUAAGUCACGGGUCCGAAUCCCGCCCGGUCCA